GGGUCAGUAGGUUGGUCGUGCCACCGGUACGUACUGGUCUCACUGAUUCCUCCUUCCUGAAGAGACGUAAUGCCAUUAUUUUGGUGUUGCGGGGAAACAGGACUGUUACUUUGAAAAAAUUAGAGUGUUUAAAGCAAGCUAACGCUUGAAUACAUUAGCAUGGAAUAAUGAAAUAGGACGAUCGAUCCUAUUUUGUUGGUUUCUAGGAUUGACGUA
rnacentral:rRNA from 1 species